CGGCUCUUCUCCUUCCUGCCACCUUGUGAAGAAGGUAUCUGGCUUCCCCUUUGCCUUCUGUUAUAAUUGUAAAUUUCCUGAGGCCUCCCCAGCCAUGUUGAACUGGAGCUGACUGUGGAGGAAGGGCUGCAACAAACCAGGGGCCUGGAUUGUGACAUACUUACAGCCACGAAGCCAUUGAGUAAAGAUAACAGUUUCUUCAAGGAAGAAUACGGAGUGUGGAUUUCAGCCAUGCUGAACAGACUGGGGCACCCUGAACAUUUAAGUUAACAUCUUCCUGAACCUCUGGGCUACUGUUUCCCAAGAUGAUAGGGAUCUGAGGAAGGGGCGCCAAUGCUGACUUGCUCUGCCCCUCUGUGUCCUGGCUGCCUGAUGGUUGUCCAAGGCGGCCCAGCAGCUGCCCCCUGCCCUGGUCAUAAGCCUUUUAUCACAUCACAAUUGGGUUCUGGAGCAAGGCUCAUGGUCCAGGGAAAUCAGGUGCCCCAAACUGCCCCCUGUUGGCUCCUCAUCCUUCAAACAGGUCACAGCAGGGAAAGAGAACAGGCAUGGUAUGCUACCCUGGUACCCUCCAGAUGCCACCAGGACCCUGUGGGCAUAGUGCCCAGAGCUAACCACUUGCACAGUUGACAUCUCCUAGUAGACUGGGGGAUCCAAGCGGGGGAGGGGGGAACUUGGGCUGUCCUAUUAACAGCUGUGACCCCUGCCAGGCGCAGUGGCUCACACCUGUAGUCAAAGCAUGUUGGGAGGCGGAGACGGGCGAAUCACCUGAGGUCAGGAGUUUGAGACCUACUAACAAUACAAACAAUACAAAAAUUA
rnacentral:lncRNA from 1 species